GAUGAAGAACGCAGCGAAAUGCGAUAAGUAGUGUGAAUUGCAGAAUUUCCGUGAGUCAUCGAAUCUUUGAACGCACAUUGCGCCCCUUGGUAUCCCGAGGGGCAUGCCUGUUCGAGCGUCAUUUCACCACUCAAGCCUGGCUUGGUGUUGGGCGACGUCCCCUUUGGGGACGCGCCUCGAAACGCUCGGCGGCGUGGCACCGGCUUUAAGCGUAGCAGAAUCUUUCGCUUUGGAAGUCGGGGCCCCGUCUGCCGGAAGACCUACUCGCAAGGUUGACCUCGGAUCAGGCAGGGAUACCCGCUGAACUUAAGCAUAUCAAUAAGCGGAGGA
rnacentral:misc_RNA from 1 species